rnacentral:rRNA from 1 species
GAUGAACGCUGGCGGCGUGCCUAAUACAUGCAAGUCGAGCGAACGGACGAUAAGCUUGCGUCUCUCAUGUUAGCGGCGGACGUGUGAGUAACACGUGGAUAACCUACCUAUCAUACUGGGAUAACUUCGGGAAACCGUAUCUUAUACCGUAUAAUAUUUUGCACCGCGUGGUUCAAAAGUGAAAGACGGUCUUUCUGGCACGUCUAGAUGCAUCCGCGCUUCAUUAGCUAGUUGGUAAGGUACCGGCUUACCAAGGCAACGAUGCAUAGCCGACCUGAGAGGGUGAUAGGCCACACUGGAGCUGGGCCACGGUCCAGAGUACUAAGGGAGGGAGCAGUAGGGAAUCUUCCGCAGUGGGCGAAAGCCUGACGGAGCAACGCCGCGUGAGAGACGACGGUCUUCGGAUCGUAAAACUCUGUUAUUAGGGAAGAACAUAUGUGUAAGUAACUGUGCACAUAUUGACGGUACCUAAUAAGAAAGCCACGGCUAACUACGUG